UGUAUAAUGGGUCAGCGACUUAUAUUCUGUAGCAAGGUUAACCGUAUAGGGGAGCCGAAGGGAAACCGAGUCUUAACUGGGCGUUAAGUUGCAGGGUAUAGACCCGAAACCCGGUGAUCUAGCCAUGGGCAGGUUGAAGGUUGGGUAACACUAACUGGAGGACCGAACCGACUAAUGUUGAAAAAUUAGCGGAUGACUUGUGGCUGGGGGUGAAAGGCCAAUCAAACCGGGAGAUAGCUGGUUCUCCCCGAAAGCUAUUUAGGUAGCGCCUCGUGAACUCAUCUUCGGGGGUAGAGCACUGUUUCGGCUAGGGGGCCAUCCCGGCUUACCAACCCGAUGCAAACUACGAAUACCGAAGAAUGUUAUCACGGGAGACACACGGCGGGUGCUAACGUCCGUCGUGAAGAGGGAAACAACCCAGACCGCCAGCUAAGGUCCCAAAGUCAUGGUUAAGUGGGAAACGAUGUGGGAAGGCACAGACAGCCAGGAUGUUGGCUUAGAAGCAGCCAUCAUUUAAAGAAAGCGUAAUAGCUCACUGGUCGAGUCGGCCUGCGCGGAAGAUGUAACGGGGCUAAACCAUG
rnacentral:rRNA from 3 species